UUUGGAACCUGGGCAGUCGCUCCUGGCUCUGGAAACGGGGUCGGGGGAGGAAAGUCCGGACACCACAGGAUACUCCGCCCCGGGCAACCGGGGGCGGUUCGGGGGUGACCCCCAACCGACGGAAAGUGUCACAGAAAACAGACCGCCCUGCGUCGCUUCGGUGAUGCGGGGUAAGGGUGAAACGGUGGGGUAAGAGCCCACCCCUGUGCCGGGUAACUGGCGGAGGGACAAACCCCGGAGGGUGCAAGGCCGAGCAGGGGAGACGGGUGAUCCGCCCGUCCCGCGCAAGCGGGACGUCCCCGGGUUGGAGCCGCAUCACCGGUUGCUUUGGCAGCCGGUGGGAUUCGCCGAAAGGCGGAUCAGAGAAAUGGCUGCCAAGCCGCCGGAGAAAUCCGGCGGGGUCCAGAAUCCGGCUUAUGGGUUCCGCGGAAC
rnacentral:RNase_P_RNA from 1 species